rnacentral:rRNA from 1 species
GAUGAACGCUGGCGGCGUGCCUAAUACAUGCAAGUCGAGCGAACGGACGAGAAGCUUGCUUUUCUGAUGUUAGCGGCGGACGGGUGAGUAACACGUGGAUAACCUACCUAUAAGACUGGGAUAACUUCGGGAAACCGGAGCUAAUACCGGAUAAUAUUUUGAACCGCAUGGUUCAAAAGUGAAAGACGGUCUUGCUGUCACUUAUAGAUGGAUCCGCGCUGCAUUAGCUAGUUGGUAAGGUAACGGCUUACCAAGGCAACGAUGCAUAGCCGACCUGAGAGGGUGACCGGCCCACCUGAACCUGAGCACGGGCCAGACCCCUUAGGGAAGGCAGAAGAAGGGAACUUCCCGAAUGGGGGGAAACCCUGCCGGACAACGGCGCGGUGAGUGAUGAAGGUCUCCGAAUCGUAAACCUUUGUUAUUGGGAAAGAAAAUAUGUGAAAGUACCUGUGACAACCUUACCGGACCCUAACAAGAAAACACGGGUGACCUCGGU